CCUCUGAUGUGCUAGGAGGAGGAGCCUGCUACCUUACCUCCGUGAUUUACACCCAUAACAACUACUGCUAGUGGUUUCAGUAACGAGAAGAAUGAAGUGUUAAAACUGAACGAAGAAAAAAUAAAA